AUCAAUCUUCUUACUAUGAGAUUAAGAGAUCUUUAGAGUAAUCAGAAUAAAGAGAGUGUUUAAGAAGUGAUUAAGAGAAGUUUGUGAGAGAUUAAGAUACUAGAUAGAGCCGUUUAGAGUCUAAGAGAAAACCAUAGUGUCUAAGAGAUUAGAGAGACUCAAACUGCAUAAUCUUAUUAGUGUUGAUGAGUUACAAUAUAUAGGGAGCUACUAGGGUUUACAAAUCGCAAAGGUAAAGAGAAGCAUGUGGAGUCAAGGUUAAGGAUUCAAAUCAACACUAUAAGCAUCACACA